rnacentral:rRNA from 1 species
GAUGAACGCUGGCGGUAUGCUUAACACAUGCAAGUCGAACGGACUCUUCGGAGUUAGUGGCGGACGGGUGAGUAACGCGUGAGAAUCUGGCUUUGGGUUCGGGACAACCACUGGAAACGGUGGCUAAUACCGGAUGUGCCGAGAGGUAAAAGAGAAAUUGCCUGAAGAUGAGCUCGCGUCUGAUUAGCUAGUUGGUGAGGUAAAGGCUCACCAAGGCAGCGAUCAGUAGCUGGUCUGAGAGGAUGACCAGCCACACGGGGACUGAGACACGGCCCAGACUCCUACGGGAGGCAGCGGUGAGGAAUUUUCCGCAAUGGGCGAAAGCCUGACGGAGCAAUACCGCGUGAGGGAAGAAGGCUCUUGGGUUGUAAACCUCUUUACUUAGGGAAGAACAAAAUGACGGUACCUAAGGAAUCAGCAUCGGCUAACUCCGUG